rnacentral:rRNA from 1 species
CAGCAGCCGGGUAAUACAGAGGGUGCAAGCGUUAAUCGGAAUUACUGGGCGUAAAGCGCGCGUAGGUGGUUUGUUAAGUUGGAUGUGAAAGCCCCGGGCUAAACCUGGGAACUGCAUCCAAAACUGGCAAGCUAGAGUACGGUAGAGGGUGGUGGAAUUUCCUGUGUAGCGGUGAAAUGCGUAGAUAUAGGAAGGAACACCAGUGGCGAAGGCGACCACCUGGACUGAUACUGACACUGAGGUGCGAAAGCGUGGGGAGCAAACAGGAUUAGAUACCCCGGUAGUCCCUGUCUCUUAUACA